AAGCUGUGAUGAUAUUUGCGCUUUCGUGGCCGAUUGGGUCCGCCACUUGAAGUCCGAUUGAAGGACUACAAUAUCUGCGCUGCUGAGCUU